UACGUAGGGGCCUAGCGUUGUCCGGAAUUAUUGGGCGUAAAGAGCUCGUAGGCGGUGUGUCGCGUCGGCCGUGAAAACCUGGGGCUCAACUCUGGGCGUGCGGUCGAUACGGGCAUCACUUGAGUUCGGCAGGGGAGACUGGAAUUCCCGGUGUAGCGGUGAAAUGCGCAGAUAUCGGGAGGAACACCAGUAGCGAAGGCGGCACUCUGGGCCGGUACUGACACUGAGGAGCGAAAGCGUGGGGAGCGAACAGG
rnacentral:rRNA from 1 species